rnacentral:lncRNA from 1 species
CAUGGGCCAAUUUAAUUUGUUGAACUGCUUAGACCAUCCGUCAGAACAAAGACUUCAUUGGAGUCACGGAUCCAAAAACUUUCCUUUGUUAAAUCUCCGAGAAACUAUUUUAUAGGGAAGCAGGAAGAAAACUAGUAGGAGACAUGUGAGUAGUUUUAAAUUAUUGAGUAAUAAUCUUUCCUGAAUGAUUUAAUGCAUG